UUUUUAUAUAAAAGUUAUUUUAUAAUUGUUAUAAUUAUAUAAGAAAUUAUAUGUGUUUGUAUAAUAAUUUUUUUAUUUUAUUUUGAGGAAAUUAGAGUGUUUUAAGCAUGAUUUUUUAAUUGAAUAGUGGAGUAUGGAAUAUUAAAAAUGUAAUAAAAUUUAUUUAUAUGUUGGUUUUAAAGUGUUAAUUAAUAAUUUCUAAGAAUAGUUGGGGGUAUUUGUAUUUAACAGCAAGAGGUGAAAUUCUUAGAUUUGUUGAAGAUAAAUUAUUGUAAAAACAUUUAUUAAAAAUAUUUUUUUUAAUUAAGAACAAAAGUUAGGGGAUCGAAGACGAUCAGAUACCGUCGUAGUCUUAAUUAUAAACUAUGCUGAUUAGAGAUUAGAUGUUUUUAAAUAAAUGAUUUGUUUAGUAUUUUUAGAGAAAUCGAAGUUUUUAAGUUUUGGGGGGAGUAUAAUUGCAAGAUUGAAACUUAAAGGAAUUGACGGAAAGGCACCACCAGAAGUGGAGUUUGCGGUUUAAUUUGACUCAACACAAGAAAUUUUAUUAGGUCUAGACAUAUGAAGGAUUGACAGAUUAAUAGUUUUUUUUUGAUUUUAUGGGUGGUA
rnacentral:rRNA from 1 species